GGUAGCUCUUAUGAUGCUAAAUUUCCUUUGUGUUUUUUCUAGGCUUUUCUCUUUACCACAGAGAGAAAGUGCUAGAUCUUUCUUCUUCUCCAAAGAGGAUGAACGCCUAAGAGAGAGCCCUAAGUUAUUUUGUAAAUCAGUAGACCUCAGUGAA